AGUGAACGCUGGCGGCGUGCUUAACACAUGCAAGCCGAACGAGAACGGAAUAUAGCUUGCUAUAUUUGUCAGCUAAGUGGCGCACGGGUGAGUAAUGUAUAGAUAACCUGCCCUUAAGAAAGGAAUAACAGUUGGAAACGACUGCUAAUGCCCUAUAUGCCUUUAAUACAUAAGUAUGCAAGGGAAACGCUUUAGUGCUUAAGGAUGGGUCUGUAUGGUAUCAGCUUGUUGGUAAGGUAAUGGCUCACCAAGGCUAUGACGCCUAACUGGUUUGAGAGGAUGAUCAGUCACACUGGAACUGAGACACGGUCCAGACUCCUACGGGAGGCAGCAAUGGGGAAUAUUGCACAAUGGACGAAAGUCUGAUGCAGCAACGCCGCGUGGAGGAUGACACAUUUCGGUGCGUAAACUCCUUUUAUAUAGGAAGAUAAUGACGGUACUAUAUGAAUAAGCACCGGCUAACUCCGUGCCAGCCGCCGCGGUAA
rnacentral:rRNA from 1 species